rnacentral:rRNA from 1 species
UGGCCUACGGGAGGCAGCAGUGGGGAAUUUUGCGCAAUGGGGGAAACCCUGACGCAGCAACGCCGCGUGAGUGAUGAAGGCCCUCGGGUCGUAAAGCUCUGUCAGAGGGGAAGAAACCCCUGGAGGAUAAUAUCCUGCAGGAUUGACGGUACCCUCAAAGGAAGCACCGGCUAACUCCGUGCCAGCAGCCGCGGUA